ACUCAAAUGAAUUGACGGGGACCCGCACAACCGGUGGAGCGUGUGGUUCAAUUCGAGACGAAACGAAGGACCUCACCAGGGCUUGACAUGGUACCGUACAUUUUCCAAGAAACUGGAAGAAAUCCGCAAGGAUGGUAUCACAGGUGUUGCAUGGCUGUCGUCAGCUCGUGCCGUGAGGUGUUCCCUUAAGUGGGGAAACGAGCGCAACCCCCAUCUAAUGUUAAAUUUUUCAUUAGAGACGGUCCCAUCUCAAAGGAUAGAAGAGGUUUCUAUUUUUUGAGAUGGGAAGGAAGGAGGGGAAGACGUCAAGUCAGCACGGCCCUUACGCCCUGGGCCACACACACACUACAAUGGCGAAGAACAAUGGGCUGCGAGCUAGCAAUAGUAAGCCAAUCCCUCAAAUUUCGCCUCAGUUCAGAUUGGGGUCUGAAACUCGACCCCAUGAAGUCGGAAUCGGUAGUAAUCGCGGAUCAGCAAGCCGCGGUGAAUACGUUCUCGGGUCUUGUACACACCGCCCGU
rnacentral:rRNA from 1 species